UUGCAGCAAUUAAGAUCUGGC
rnacentral:piRNA from 1 species